UACGUAGGUGGCAAGCGUUGUCCGGAAUUAUUGGGCGUAAAGCGCGCGCAGGUGGUUCCUUAAGUCUGAUGUGAAAGCCCACGGCUCAACCGCGGAGGGUCAUUGGAAACUGGGGAACUUGAGUGCAGAAGAGGAAAGUGGAAUUCCAAGUGUAGCGGUGAAAUGCGUAGAGAUUUGGAGGAACACCAGUGGCGAAGGCGACUUUCUGGUCUGUAACUGACACUGAGGCGCGAAAGCGUGGGGAGCAAACAGG
rnacentral:rRNA from 1 species